UUCCGUGCACCAAGAAUUUGCCUGGCGGCUUUAGCGCGGUGGUCCCACCUGACCCCAUGCCGAACUCAGAAGUGAAACGCCGUAGCGCCGAUGGUAGUGUGGGGCCUCCCCAUGCG
rnacentral:rRNA from 1 species